rnacentral:rRNA from 1 species
AACGAACGCUGGCGGCGUGCCUAACACAUGCAAGUCGAGCGGUCCAUGGGUUUCGGCCCAUGGGUAGCGGCAGACGGGUGAGUAACACGUGGGUAACCUGUCCUUGGGUGGGGGAUAACUACUCGAAAGGGUGGCUAAUACCGCAUAAGACCACGGCCUUGCGGGGCUGCGGUCAAAGGUGCAAAUCGCCUGAGGAGGGGCCCGCGGCCGAUUAGCUAGUUGGUAGGAUAAUGGCCUACCAAGGCGACGAUCGGUAGCUGGUCUAAGAGGAUGAUCAGCCACACUGGUACUGAGACACGGACCAGACUCCUACGGGAGGCAGCAGUGGGGAAUAUUGGACAAUGGGGGGAACCCUGAUCCAGCAAUGCCGCGUGUGUGAAGAAGGCCUGAGGGUUGUAAAGCACUUUCGGUGGGGAGGAGAGACGAUUGGUUAAGAGCUGAUGGUUGAGACGCUACCCACAUAAGAAGCACCGGCAAACUCCGUGCCAGCCGCCGCUGUAACAC